AUUGAACGCUGGCGGCAGGCCUAACACAUGCAAGUCGAGCGAGCGGCGGACGGGUGAGUAAUGUCUGGGAAACUGCCUGAUGGAGGGGGAUAACUACUGGAAACGGUAGCUAAUACCGCAUACCAUCAGCUUUGCCCAGGGGGGCUUAGCUAGUAGGUGGGGGAACGGCUCACCUAGGCGACGAUCCCUAGCUGGUCUGCGAGGAUGACCAGCCACACUGGAAAUGAGAAACGGUCCAGACUCCUACGGGAGGCAGCAGGGGGUAAUAUGGCACAAUGGGCGCAAGGCUGAUGCAGCCAUGCGGCGUGUGUGAAGAAGGCCUUCGGGUUGUAAAGCACUGUCAGCGGGGAGGCGUUACCCGCAGAAGAAGCACCGGCUAACUCCGUGCCAGCAGCCGCGGUAAUA
rnacentral:rRNA from 1 species